UGGGGCGUGGCCAAGUGGUAAGGCACCAGGUUUUGGUCCUGGGAUCGGAGGUUCGAAUCCUCCCGCCCCAGCCA
rnacentral:tRNA from 1 species